UCGUGACUUGAUGAGGUUGAAGAA
rnacentral:misc_RNA from 1 species